rnacentral:rRNA from 2 species
UCAAGUGAAGAAGCGCAUACGGUGGAUGCCUUGGCAGUCAGAGGCGAUGAAAGACGUGGUAGCCUGCGAAAAGCUUCGGGGAGUCGGCAAACAGACUUUGAUCCGGAGAUCUCUGAAUGGGGGAACCCACCUAGGAUAACCUAGGUAUCUUGUACUGAAUCCAUAGGUGCAAGAGGCGAACCAGGGGAACUGAAACAUCUAAGUACCCUGAGGAAAAGAAAUCAACCGAGAUUCCCUUAGUAGUGGCGAGCGAACGGGGAUUAGCCCUUAAGCUUCAUUGAUUUUAGCGGAACGCUCUGGAAAGUGCGGCCAUAGUGGGUGAUAGCCCCGUACGCGAAAGGAUCUUUGAAGUGAAAUCGAGUAGGACGGAGCACGAGAAACUUUGUCUGAACAUGGGGGGACCAUCCUCCAAGGCUAAAUACUACUGACUGACCGAUAGUGAACCAGUACCGUGAGGGAAAGGCGAAAAGAACCCCGGAGAGGGGAGUGAAAUAGAACCUGAAACCGUAUGCGUACAAGCAGUGGGAGCCUACUUGUUAGGUGACUGCGUACCUUUUGUAUAAUGGGUCAGCGACUUAUAUUCAGUGGCAAGCUUAACCGUAUAGGGUAGGCGUAGCGAAAGCGAGUCUUAAUAGGGCGUUUAGUCGCUGGGUAUAGACCCGAAACCGGGCGAUCUAUCCAUGAGCAGGUUGAAGGUUAGGUAACACUGACUGGAGGACCGAACCCACUCCCGUUGAAAAGGUAGGGGAUGACUUGUGGAUCGGAGUGAAAGGCUAAUCAAGCUCGGAGAUAGCUGGUUCUCCUCGAAAGCUAUUUAGGUAGCGCCUCAUGUAUCACUCUGGGGGGUAGAGCACUGUUUCGGCUAGGGGGUCAUCCCGACUUACCAAACCGAUGCAAACUCCGAAUACCCAGAAGUGCCGAGCAUGGGAGACACACGGCGGGUGCUAACGUCCGUCGUGAAAAGGGAAACAACCCAGACCGCCAGCUAAGGUCCCAAAGUUGUGGUUAAGUGGUAAACGAUGUGGGAAGGCUUAGACAGCUAGGAGGUUGGCUUAGAAGCAGCCAUCCUUUAAAGAAAGCGUAAUAGCUCACUAGUCGAGUCGGCCUGCGCGGAAGAUGUAACGGGGCUCAAACCACACACCGAAGCUGCGGGUGUCACGUAAGUGACGCGGUAGAGGAGCGUUCUGUAAGCCUGUGAAGGUGAGUUGAGAAGCUUGCUGGAGGUAUCAGAAGUGCGAAUGCUGACAUGAGUAACGACAAUGGGUGUGAAAAACACCCACGCCGAAAGACCAAGGGUUCCUGCGCAACGUUAAUCGACGCAGGGUUAGUCGGUUCCUAAGGCGAGGCUGAAAAGCGUAGUCGAUGGGAAACAGGUUAAUAUUCCUGUACUUCUGGUUACUGCGAUGGAGGGACGGAGAAGGCUAGGCCAGCUUGGCGUUGGUUGUCCAAGUUUAAGGUGGUAGGCUGAAAUCUUAGGUAAAUCCGGGGUUUCAAGGCCGAGAGCUGAUGACGAGUCGUCUUUUAGAUGACGAAGUGGUUGAUGCCAUGCUUCCAAGAAAAGCUUCUAAGCUUCAGGUAACCAGGAACCGUACCCCAAACCGACACAGGUGGUCGGGUAGAGAAUACCAAGGCGCUUGAGAGAACUCGGGUGAAGGAACUAGGCAAAAUGGCACCGUAACUUCGGGAGAAGGUGCGCCGGCUAGGGUGAAGGAUUUACUCCGUAAGCUCUGGCUGGUCGAAGAUACCAGGCCGCUGCGACUGUUUAUUAAAAACACAGCACUCUGCAAACACGAAAGUGGACGUAUAGGGUGUGACGCCUGCCCGGUGCCGGAAGGUUAAUUGAUGGGGUUAGCGCAAGCGAAGCUCUUGAUCGAAGCCCCGGUAAACGGCGGCCGUAACUAUAACGGUCCUAAGGUAGCGAAAUUCCUUGUCGGGUAAGUUCCGACCUGCACGAAUGGCGUAACGAUGGCGGCGCUGUCUCCACCCGAGACUCAGUGAAAUUGAAAUCGCUGUGAAGAUGCAGUGUAUCCGCGGCUAGACGGAAAGACCCCGUGAACCUUUACUGUAGCUUUGCACUGGACUUUGAGCCUGCUUGUGUAGGAUAGGUGGGAGGCUUUGAAGCGUGGACGCCAGUUCGCGUGGAGCCAUCCUUGAAAUACCACCCUGGCAUGCUUGAGGUUCUAACUCUGGUCCGUAAUCCGGAUCGAGGACAGUGUAUGGUGGGCAGUUUGACUGGGGCGGUCUCCUCCUAAAGAGUAACGGAGGAGUACGAAGGUGCGCUCAGACCGGUCGGAAAUCGGUCGUAGAGUAUAAAGGCAAAAGCGCGCUUGACUGCGAGACAGACACGUCGAGCAGGUACGAAAGUAGGUCUUAGUGAUCCGGUGGUUCUGUAUGGAAGGGCCAUCGCUCAACGGAUAAAAGGUACUCCGGGGAUAACAGGCUGAUACCGCCCAAGAGUUCAUAUCGACGGCGGUGUUUGGCACCUCGAUGUCGGCUCAUCACAUCCUGGGGCUGAAGCCGGUCCCAAGGGUAUGGCUGUUCGCCAUUUAAAGUGGUACGCGAGCUGGGUUUAGAACGUCGUGAGACAGUUCGGUCCCUAUCUGCCGUGGACGUUUGAGAUUUGAGAGGGGCUGCUCCUAGUACGAGAGGACCGGAGUGGACGAACCUCUGGUGUUCCGGUUGUCACGCCAGUGGCAUUGCCGGGUAGCUAUGUUCGGAAAAGAUAACCGCUGAAAGCAUCUAAGCGGGAAACUUGCCUCAAGAUGAGAUCUCACUGGGAACUUGAUUCCCCUGAAGGGCCGUCGAAGACUACGACGUUGAUAGGCUGGGUGUGUAAGCGUUGUGAGGCGUUGAGCUAACCAGUACUAAUUGCCCGUGAGGCUUGACCAU